AUGGAUGUGGGAGCAUCAACUCCGUCCCUGUGGGCUUUUGAGGAGCGGGAGAAAUUGUUGGAAUUCUAUGAAAGAGUCUUGGGAGCCAGGAUGCAUGCCAGUUUCAUACGACCAAGUGGAGUGGCACAAGAUCUGCCUCUUGGCUUAUGUCGAGAUAUUGAUUCCUUCACACAACAAUUUGCUUCUCCAAGCAAAGGAUUGGGGAUUCAAUGGUGUAAUGUUAAGAGGUCGUGCGACAUGA